rnacentral:rRNA from 1 species
UACGUAGGGGGCAAGCGUUGUCCGGAAUCAUUGGGCGUAAAGAGCGUGUAGGCGGCUCGGUAAGUCCGCUGUGAAAGUCCAGGGCUCAACCCUGGAAUGCCGGUGGAUACUGUCGAGCUCGAGUCCGGAAGAGGCGAGUGGAAUUCCUGGUGUAGCGGUGAAAUGCGCAGAUAUCAGGAGGAACACCAAUGGCGAAGGCAGCUCGCUGGGACGGUACUGACGCUGAGACGCGAAAGCGUGGGGGAGCAAACAG